rnacentral:rRNA from 1 species
ACGGUAACAGGGAGCUUGCUCCGCUGACGAGUGGCGAACGGGUGAGUAAUAUAUCGGAACGUACCCAAGAGUGGGGGAUAACGUAGCGAAAGUUACGCUAAUACCGCAUACGAUCUAUGGAUGAAAGCAGGGGACCUUCGGGCCUUGUGCUCCUGGAGCGGCCGAUAUCUGAUUAGCUAGUUGGUGAGGUAAAGGCUCACCAAGGCGACGAUCAGUAGCUGGUCUGAGAGGACGACCAACCACACUGGAACUGAGACACGGUCCAGACUCCUACGGGAGGCAGCAGUGGGGAAUUUUGGACAAUGGGCGCAAGCCUGAUCCAGCAAUGCCGCGUGAGUGAAGAAGGCCUUCGGGUUGUAAAGCUCUUUUGUCAGGGAAGAAACGGCUGUGGCUAAUAUCCACGGCUAAUGACGGUACCUGAAGAAUAAGCACCGGCUAACUACGUGCCAGCAGCCGCGGUAAUACGUAGGGUGCAAGCGUUAAUCGGAAUUACUGGGCGUAAAGCGUGCGCAGGCGGUUUUGUAAGUCUGUCGUGAAAUCCCCGGGCUCAACCUGGGAAUUGCGAUGGAGACUGCAAGGCUAGAAUCUGGCAGAGGGGGGUAGAAUUCCACGUGUAGCAGUGAAAUGCGUAGAGAUGUGGAGGAACACCGAUGGCGAACGCAGCCCCCUGGGUCAAGAUUGACGCUCAUGCACGAAAGCGUGGGGAGCAAACAGGAUUAGAUACCCUGGUAGUCCACGCCCUAAACGAUGUCUACUAGUUGUCGGGUUUUAAUUAACUUGGUAACGCAGCUAACGCGUGAGUAGACCGCCUGGGGGAGUACGGUCGCAAGAUUA